rnacentral:sRNA from 1 species
AACCAAUCUCUGCAGGCAAGCAAGAUCUUGACCCAGCCUCUGAGUAAUUAGGCUUCUUUGACUUCCGGGAAGGCAGCUGGGUGUAAGCAGUGUUCCCCCGCAUCCAGACAGCUAGGACUGCGUGAGUCGAGACUGUCACUAAAUUCUCAGUGCCUGUGCAGCCAGAGAUGCUCAAUACCCUUGCCACUUGGUGUCUAGGUGAACUGUGCUACUCGGCUGCAGUCUCAGCUGUCCCUACCUGGAACAGUGCCCUGAGAGGGACUCUGAGCCUCUUCACCGACACAGCUCUUCAUCCCCGGUCUCUUGCUCAGGAUGUGCAACAAUCUGGAUUCUUCAUGGAUUCUCCCUAACCGAGAACAAACCAGGAGGGAAGCGAUCAAGCUUUGCUCUCUGUAAAGAUCCUUCAUGCGUGUGGCAUCUACAGUGGUCCCCUUAUCUGUGAUUUUGCUGUCCAUGUCUUUAGGCUUUGAGUAUCUGUGGUCAGGUUCAGCAUUGUGACACCUCACAUCAGCAUAGGAGAAAGCAUGAGGGAGGGAGAGGGGACGGAGAGAGGGAGAACAAGAAAGGGAAAAUUCCCAUAUUCUUAUAACCUUUAUUACAGAAUGUUCUAGUUGUUCUAUUUUAUUAGUAGUUUGUAGGUUUGUUUUUUAUUGUUCCUAAUCAAUAUACCUUCAUAGGUACACAUAUAGGAAAAGAAGUUCCAGGCCUCCUCCUGGGGUCUAGGUGUGUUUCCCUAAGGGUGUAGGUUGCCGAGAGCACUGUAUAGCUAGAUACUCACUUCCUGCAGUCUAGUACCUUCCCAACUAGCCUUGGACUUGGACUUUGGUGAUGAUUCCUCCUUUCAGAAAGCCUGCAGUUUAAAUUGUCUCUGUGCUCUGACAUGACAUCUCAGAGCCCCUGGGUGGAGACAGGUGGCUUCCUGAGGGUGGCCAGGAGGUGCCAUAGCAAGGCUUAGAAAAUCUGGGGAGCUGGGCAGGAAGAAAGGCAGAGGCUGCCCAUUGCAUCCAGUAGGAUGAGCUGCUCUCAGGAGCUCAGCACAGGAGUGUAGACUUCCUGGAGUGAGUGGGGUGGGCUUCAAAGUCAGUGGGGGAAGAACCUUCUGGGAGUCCCAGUUCUGGGAUGAUAGUUCCUGAAGUGUGUCAGGUGGGCUUACUCCACUCUCCUGGGCAGUCAGCAGGGCUACAAGGGGCAAAUACAGCUUCCUUUCUCUCCUCUUCCUUCUGUUCUAUAGGACAAAAGAAAAAAAAUGCCAGAGGGAUGUCAAUUACACGUACGGCUGGGAGAGCCUCAGUUCAAGUAAUGGAGCUACCUGCUCUGCUUGAAGGGUGACGGCCCCGCCCACCCCUGUGCUCCCCCAAGGCUGCGUAAAUGUGCUCCGUUGACCUUCGAAGGGCAUGCCACUAGCACAGCUGCUCAACUCGGUGCCACUCACUCAGGCCUGUCAUUAGUACUCAGGCCUGUGACAGGUGUUUGGCAUGGCUCUGGCAGGAAGGUCAGUGCCUCAGAGCUGCUGAGUUCUCCCAGCUCAAGGCGACACUUGAAGGCUGGCACAAAGCCAGGCUGGAGCUGGCAGCAGCUUGUGGCCUCAGUAGAGGGCAGGCUAGUUGGCUAAGAUCAGAUCUUGGUUUGGAAGAGCUCAGAGGUGGGGUUUAGUGGUCGUCUCCCCAUCCUUGUACCUCUGAAUACAUUUCCCCUCUUUCUGCUAGGUGAACCUGACAGUGGCCUGGGGCUAGGGCAGGCUCAGAAAAGCCUGGGCAGCUCCUAGGCCUGCUGGGCCCAGGAUCUGCUAUGGCUGCUGGUCUUCAGAGCACGGUGUAGCCCCAUCAGAACCCAGAAGGAGCUCUUCCAGUGUCAUGGAGUUAGCCAGUAUCCUUCUGACACUUGGCAGGUAGGUGAACAUCUUUUCCAGGGGUCACUCUGAAGCCAUCGGCCAACUUCACAGGGAUCCCACUUCACUUCCAAGGGCCCCAUGGCUGUCUGCAAAUCAUGACCUCGGUCCAACCCAGUUGAGAUCCUGACUUCUCAGUGGCGUGCAGGGUGUGCCUAUUCUUAGCAUCCCCAUCGAAGCCUCUGGGCUGUGACUAUUACCCUGUUCUCAGGGGAAUGGCGUUUCUUUAUUCCCCCCAGGUGACUGGGAAGUGGUGCUAGGCCUGCAGCCCUGGAAGGGAUGGAGGUGGUUUGUGAAGCCACAGCAGCCCAAGAGCAGUCCUGUAUACACUGCAUACACAGACGCACACAUCAUUCCACAGCAGAAGCCGCUUUACUCAGAUUGCAGAGAAAGAUGUAUUCCUGUUUCAAAGAAAAUCAGAAAAUAUACAUAUGUGUAAAAAUAAAAAAAAAGCUACCACGAUCCCGUUCCAAACAGCCGUCCUCAUUGAUUUCUUGCCUCUUCUUUCAUUCUCUGUUUAA